GACGAACGCUGGCGGCGUGCUUAACACAUGCAAGUCGAGCGGUAAGGCCCUUUCGGGGGUACACGAGCGGCGAACGGGUGAGUAACACGUGGGUGACCUGCCCUCAGCUCUGGGAUAAGCCUGGGAAACCGGGUCUAAUACCGGAUAUGACUCCAUGACGCAUGUUGUGGGGUGGAAAGCCUUGUGCGGCUGAGGAUGGGCCCGCGGCCUAUCAGCUUGUUGGUGGGGUGAUGGCCUACCAAGGCGACGACGGGUAGCCGGCCUGAGAGGGCGACCGGCCACACUGGGACUGGAGACACGGCCCAGACUCCUACGGGAGGCAGCAGUGGGGAAUCUUGCGCAAUGGGCGAAAGCCUGACGCAGCGACGCCGCGUGAGGGAUGACGGCCUGGUGUAAC
rnacentral:rRNA from 1 species